AAUAUGGGACAUUGGGGGCAACCCUGAUCCAACCAUGCAGCGAGAGUGAAGAAGGUAUUCUGUUUGUAAAGCACAUUUAGGUGGGAGGAAGGGAUUUAGGCUAAUACCCUGAAGUUUUGAUGUUACCAACAGUGUAUGCACCGGCUAACUCAGUGCCAGCAGCAGCGGUAAUACAGAGGGUGCAAGCGUUAAUCGGAAUUAAUGGGCGGAAAGCACGCGUUGUUGGUUCAGUAAGAUGGGUGUGAAAUCCCCGGGAUUAGCCUGGGAUCUGCUUUCAUAACUGCUGAGCUAGAGUACGGUAGAUGGUAGUGGAAUAUCCUGUGUAGCGGUGAAAUGCGUAGAUAUAGGAAGGAACACCAGUGGCGAAGGCGACUACCUGGACUGAUACUAACACUGAGGUGCGAAAGCGUGGGGAGCAAACA
rnacentral:rRNA from 1 species